GCGACAGUAGCUCAGUUGGUAGAGCGUUGGCUUCCCAAGCCGAAGGUCGCGGGUUCGAGUCCCGUCUGUCGCU
rnacentral:tRNA from 1 species